AAUAUUGUUUGCUCUUCCCUUUUUGACUGGAUAAAAAAAAAAAAAAAAAAAGUUGUCAGAUCCAGGACUAAUGGUACAUCCAAGAAGAAUGGGAGAAAGACAUACUUUCAAAAAUAGCGUUGCAUGGAUGUUUUGCCUUAUCCCUGCCUGCAUGCUGAUGAGUUAAUAUGUUAUUUAUACAACUGAAUACCUUCAGGAAAAAAAUUAUUUUCUGCAGUUGACAGGACAUCUACUGAAACACUGAGAGGUGCACAAGAUCUGAUAAUUCAUUUAUUCUGAUGGUUCAGAUCAAUUAAUGACUUGGAUAAGAGACUACUGGUCAUGGAAGAAAGCCAGAGCUUGGGUCUGAGAAUCUUCUAAGCAAAAGGCCUGCCCCUGGCUCCCAAAGCCAUGUGUAAGGCACGACAAUUCAGGGUGACCUAGAGAGCCAGAAGCAACCUUACUCUGGGCACCCACCGGACCCACUGCAGGACAACUCUUCCCUGCAGGACAACUCUUCCCUGCAGGACAGGCUCUGAGCCAUGCAUGUCAAAGAAGUUCACAUUCCCCUAAAACAGUGCAGAGUCCAGAUCUGAAGGUAAGCAUUGCAUCUGUGCAAGACUAAGUGGGAAGCGAGCUCCUGAGCGUGGACAUCAGCCUUCCUCCCUGCAGUGCCUGGACACCUGCACCUUCCUCCUAAGGAAGCUGGGGGACAAUUGACCUGAAAAGAAUCCCUGGUGUAUGAAACAAGUGUUUAACAGGAAGACAGGCAUAGAGCAAGCGCUGGAGAGGCUGGGAAGCAGAGGAGCUAUCAUCAAUCACCCACCCUCAUCUCUCAUAUGUCAAGAAUCUUUGGUACCAGACCCAAAAUAUUCUGAAAGGAGGAGUUUGGAAGUCUUCUGCUCCAGGAACCUGCAUCCCAAGCCUGCUGCCUCACACGGACUUCAUGCACAUACAAGUUUUCAUUGAAGGCAAGUAAAACAAAUACCCACAGGAAAAUUGUUGUGUUCCCGUUAAGCUGUAGUACUGUCCAGAGUAAAAACUAUCAUUCAUUACAAUGCUUGUAUCACCCCAGAAAGCAAAGAGAACCACAUGGCAGCUGGCAUGUGAAGUCAGUGCUAUGUGCAUGGCCUAGUGGAAGUGCAGAAAUGCACACAUAAUGCAAAGGUGGAUGGAUAGACAAAUACACAGACUUAUUUUCCAUGUGUCUGAGAUUUGUUUUAAGACUGUGGUGUUCAUUUGUACUCUUUGC